UCAGGAUGAACGCUGGCGGCGUGCCUAAUACAUGCAAGUCGAACGAGUUCUCGUUGAUGAUCGGUGCUUGCACCGAGAUUCAACAUGGAACGAGUGGCGGACGGGUGAGUAACACGUGGGUAACCUGCCCUUAAGUGGGGGAUAACAUUUGGAAACAGAUGCUAAUACCGCAUAGAUCCAAGAACCGCAUGGUUCUUGGCUGAAAGAUGGCGUAAGCUAUCGCUUUUGGAUGGACCCGCGGCGUAUUAGCUAGUUGGUGAGGUAAUGGCUCACCAAGGCGAUGAUACGUAGCCGAACUGAGAGGUUGAUCGGCCACAUUGGGACUGAGACACGGCCCAAACUCCUACGGGAGGCAGCAGUAGGGAAUCUUCCACAAUGGACGCAAGUCUGAUGGAGCAACGCCGCGUGAGUGAAGAAGGCUUUCGGGUCGUAAAACUCUGUUGUUGGAGAAGAAUGGUCGGCAGAGUAACUGUUGUCGGCGUGACGGUAUCCAACCAGAAAGCCACGGCUAACUACGUGCCAGCAGCCGCGGUAAUACGUAGGUGGCAAGCGUUAUCCGGAUUUAUUGGGCGUAAAGCGAGCGCAGGCGGUUUUUUAAGUCUGAUGUGAAAGCCCUCGGCUUAACCGAGGAAGCGCAUCGGAAACU
rnacentral:rRNA from 2 species